GACGAACGCUGGCGGCGUGCUUAACACAUGCAAGUCGAACGGAAAGGCCCUGCUUUUGUGGGGUGCUCGAGUGGCGAACGGGUGAGUAACACGUGAGUAACCUGCCCUUGACUUUGGGCUACCUUCAGGAAACUGGGGCUAAUACCGGAUAGGAGCUCCUGCUGCAUGGUGGGGGUUGGAAAGUUUCGGCGGUUGGGGAUGGACUCGCGGCUUAUCAGCUUGUUGGUGGGGUAGUGGCUUACCAAGGCUUUGACGGGUAGCCGGCCUGAGAGGGUGACCGGCCACAUUGGGACUGAGAUACGGCCCAGACUCCUACGGGAGGCAGCAGUGGGGAAUAGUGCACAAUGGGCGGAAGCCUGAUGCAGCAACGCCGCGUGCGGGAUGACGGCCUUCGGGUUGUAAACCGCUUUCGCCUGUGACGAAGCGUGAGUGACGGUAAUGGGUAAAGAAGCACCGGCUAACUACGUG
rnacentral:rRNA from 1 species